UUUAUCAUAGGACAAACAAGGUCAAAGGCCCUUAGGGAAAAAAAAUUAGAAUUUUUAAAGACUUUAUUUUUAAAAAUUAAAAAUAAUCACAAAAUCAAUUAAAUCAUGAAAAAUAUUAAUAAUGAUCCAAAAAACAAAUUUUAAUUCAGAAUAUGAAAGAGGAAAUUAUUUGAAAAUUUUUGGUGAAACUCUCAUAUUUUUUUGAUCAAUAAUAAAA
rnacentral:lncRNA from 1 species